rnacentral:tRNA from 1 species
UAUAUUAUAAUUUAAAAAAAAAAUAUUAAAUUGCAAAUUUAAAAAUUUUAAAUAAAUUUAAAUAAUAUAU